UGCCAUAUGGUGUAGUGGCUAAGCGUUUUGGGUUGGAAACUCAAGGCCGGGGUUCGAUUCCUCAUGGUGCCA